rnacentral:rRNA from 1 species
UGGGGAAUAUUGCACAAUGGGGGAAACCCUGAUGCAGCGACGCCGCGUGAGCGAAGAAGGCCUUCGGGUCGUAAAGCUCUUUUAUGAGGGAAGAUAAUGACGGUACCUCAAGAAAAAGCCCCGGCUAACUACGUGCCAGCAGCCGCGGUAAUACGUAGGUGGCAAGCGUUGUCCGGAUUUAUUGGGCGUAAAGCGAGCGCAGGCGGUCAAUUAAGUCUGAUGUGAAAGCCCCCGGCUCAACCGGGGAGGGUCAUUGGAAACUGGUUGACUUGAGUGCAGAAGAGGAGAGUGGAAUUCCAUGUGUAGCGGUGAAAUGCGUAGAUAUAUGGAGGAACACCAGUGGCGAAGGCGACUCUCUGGUCUGUAACUGACGCUGAGGCUCGAAAGCGUGGGUAGCAAACAGG